AUACGGAGGGUCCGAGCGUUAUCCGGAAUUAUUGGGUUUAAAGGGUCCGUAGGCGGGCCAUUAAGUCAGGGGUGAAAGUCUGCGGCUCAACCGUAGAAUUGCCUUUGAUACUGAUGGUCUUGAGUUAUAGUGAAGUUGGCGGAAUAUGUAGUGUAGCGGUGAAAUGCAUAGAUAUUACAUAGAACACCGAUUGCGAAGGCAGCUGACUAACUAUAUACUGACGCUGAGGGACGAAAGCGUGGGGAGCAAACAGGAUUAGAUACCCUAGUAGUCC
rnacentral:rRNA from 1 species